GAUGAAGAACGCAGCGAAAUGCGAUACGUAAUGUGAAUUGCAAAUUCAGUGAAUCAUCGAGUCUUUGAACGCACAUUGCGCCCCCUGGUAAUCCGGGGGGCAUGCCUGUCCGAGCGUCAUUGCUGCACUCAAGCACGGCUUGUGUGUUGGGCCCCGUCCUCCGAUCCCGGGGGACGGGCCCGAAAGGCAGCGGCGGCACCGCGUCCGGUCCUCGAGCGUAUGGGGCUUUGUCACCCGCUCUGUAGGCCCGGCCGGCGCUUGCCGAUCAACCCAAAUUUUUAUCCAGGUUGACCUCGGAUCAGGUAGGGAUACCCGCUGAACUUAAGCAUAUCAAUAAGCGGAGGA
rnacentral:misc_RNA from 1 species